GACGUAGGGCGCGAGCGUUGUCCGGAUUUAUUGGGCGUAAAGAGCUCGUAGGCGGCUUGUCGCGUCGUUCGUGAAAACCUGCGGCUCAACUGCAGGCUUGCGGUCGAUACGGGCAGGCUGGAGUUCGGUAGGGGAGACUGGAAUUCCUGGUGUAGCGGUGAAAUGCGCAGAUAUCAGGAGGAACACCGGUGGCGAAGGCGGGUCUCUGGGCCGAUACUGACGCUGAGGAACGAAAGCGUGGGGAGCGAACAGG
rnacentral:rRNA from 1 species